rnacentral:rRNA from 1 species
AUGAUGCAACGUUGAAAGUUGGCCUUUGGCUAACACUGUAGGAUGGGCCCGCGGCGCAUUAGCUAGUUGGUAAGGUAACGGCUUACCAAGGCCACGAUGCGUAGCCGACCUGAGAGGGUGAUCGGCCACACUGGGACUGAGACACGGCCCAGACUCCUACGGGAGGCAGCAGUAGGGAAUCUUCCGCAAUGGACGAAAGUCUGACGGAGCAACGCCGCGUGAGUGACGAAGGCCUUCGGGUCGUAAAGCUCUGUUGUUAGGGAAGAACAAGUACCGUUCGAAUAGGGCGGUACCUUGACGGUACCUAACCAGAAAGCCACGGCUAACUACGUGCCAGCAGCCGCGGUAAUACGUAGGUGGCAAGCGUUGUCCGGAAUUAUUGGGCGUAAAGCGCGCGCAGGCGGUCUCUUAAGUCUGAUGUGAAAGCCCACGGCUCAACCGUGGAGGGCCAUUGGAAACUGGGGGACUUGAGUGCAGAAGAGGAGAGUGGAAUUCCACGUGUAGCGGUGAAAUGCGUAGAUAUGUGGAGGAACACCAGUGGCGAAGGCGGCUCUCUGGUCUGUAACUGACGCUGAGGCGCGAAAGCGUGGGGAGCGAACAGGAUUAGAUACCCUGGUAGUCCACGCCGUAAACGAUGAGUGCUAGGUGUUGGGGGCUUCCACCCUCAGUGCUGAAGUUAACACAUUAAGCACUCCGCCUGGGGAGUACGACCGCAAGGUUGAAACUCAAAGGAAUUGACGGGGGCCCGCACAAGCAGUGGAGCAUGUGGUUUAAUUCGAAGCAACGCGAAGAACCUUACCAGGUCUUGACAUCCUCUGCCACUCC